UACGUAGGUGGCAAGCGUUGUCCGGAAUUAUUGGGCGUAAAGCGCGCGCAGGCGGUCCUUUAAGUCUGAUGUGAAAUCACGUGGCUCAACCACGUGCGGUCAUUGGAAACUGGAGGGCUUGAGUGCAGAAGAGGAAAGUGGAAUUCCAAGUGUAGCGGUGAAAUGCGUAGAGAUUUGGAGGAACACCAGUGGCGAAGGCGACUUUCUGGUCUGUAACUGACGCUGAGGCGCGAAAGCGUGGGGAGCAAAC
rnacentral:rRNA from 1 species